rnacentral:rRNA from 1 species
AUUGAACGCUGGCGGAAUGCUUUACACAUGCAAGUCGAACGGCAGCACGGGAGCUUGCUCCUGGUGGCGAGUGGCGAACGGGUGAGUAACAUAUCGGAACGUACCCAGUGGUGGGGGAUAACACAUCGAAAGAUGUGCUAAUACCGCAUACGACCUGAGGGUGAAAGGGGGGGAUCGCAAGACCUCUCGCCGUUGGAGCGGCCGAUAUCGGAUUAGCAAGUUGGUGAGGUAAAGGCUCACCAAGGCGACGAUCCGUAGCUGGUCUGGGAGGAUGAUCAGCCACACUGGGACUGAGACACGGCCCAGACUCCUACGGGAGGCAGCAGUGGGGAAUUUUGGACAAUGGGGGCAACCCUGAUCCAGCCAUUCCGCGUGAGUGAAGAAGGCCUUCGGGUUGUAAAGCUCUUUCGGCAGGAACGAAACGGUGGAUCCUAAUACGGUCUGCUAAUGACGGUACCUGUAGAAGAAGCACCGGCUAACUACGUGCCAGCCGCCGCGGUAA